AACGAACGCUGGCGGCAUGCCUAACACAUGCAAGUCGAACGGGACGUUCGUGUCUAUUGGCGCUGCGGGGCUGGCCGCGUGGGGACCUACCCUUGGGUUCGGUGUAACUCACCGUGGGGGGUCCUCAUGAAGGUUAAUCUCUUCGGGCCAAAGAUUUGUUGCUUUUGGAUGGGCGCUCGUUGGUUUAGGUAGUUGGUAGGGUAAAAGCAUGGCAAUGGGAUGAUCCAUAGCUGGUCUGAGAGGAUGAUCAGCCAGACUGGGACUGCGACACGGCCCAGACUCGUACGGGAGGCAGCAGUGGGGAAUAUUGGAGGAGGAGCGAAAGUCUGAUCAAGCAAUGCCGCGUGAGAGAUGAAGGCCGUUGUGUUGUAAAGCCCUCUUACCCGAGAUGAUAAUGACAGUACUGGGAGAAUAAGCUCCGGCUAACUCCGUG
rnacentral:rRNA from 1 species